GCCAGUGUGGUGUAGUGGUUUGAGUGCUGGACUAGGACUUUAGAGUCCAGGCUUUGAAUCCUGGCUCAGACA